rnacentral:lncRNA from 1 species
CAUAUACAGUUAGCCAAACCCAAGUUUCUCCAUUACCGUUGGAGGCAGCUGUCUCAAAGAACAACAAUCUUUGCCAGGCCUAUACUGUGAGAGGUUUUAUUUUCUCUCUGUGGAAGAGGGACAUGGAAAAGACUGACCUUGUUUUGUCUAGGCAAAGGGGUACAAUCAAUUUUCCAGCGUCCAGCAGCUUUGUCCACGGUCUCGGCCAGGUUCUGGCAGGCGGCAGGUUUUAUAUCUGAGCAUCUCGCUCACUGGUCCAGGUGCGGGAACCGAGGUGCCUCGUAAUCUUUUGGAGAUUUUGGGUCAUUGUCAGGAUCUGGCAGUCUGUCUGACAUUAAAAACUUUAAAGAUAACAAUUUAAAUGCCAUAUUCUGAAGAUUUCUGAAGCAUUAGAGGUCUGUUUGUCUGUUUUAAUUACUUGCCUUAAGCAUACAUUAAGUAUCUACAGGUGGCUAGGUAAGGUCUUAUUUCUGUAAAUAAUUAGCACCUGCUCUAGAGAGGUACAGGUGAUGCAAGGCCAGGGCAGGCACAUCUAAGUGCCAGGAUUCCUUAAACAGUAGCUUAACUUCUUUCUUAGGCAGGGUUUUUCUGUGACUUGUAACAACCUUUUCUCUGACCUUUGACAACUUUCCUCUGACCUUUUAUAAUUUUCCUCUGACCUUUUACAACUUUCCUCUGACCUUCUGCAACUUGCUUUAACCCUCUGUAACUUUCUGUGACCUCCAACAACUUGCUUUAACCCUCUGUAACUUUUACCGCUUGCUUUAAUUCUCUAUAACCUUUUAUAACAAUCUUUUCUGCUAUGACUUGCUUUAAUCCUCUAUAACCUCCUAGUUCAUUUCUCUGACUCUCUUAGACAUUUUUAGACAAGUUUUCUUUUUUUUUCUUUCCCUUUUUAUUAUUUAUGUCUCCUAUAUUUUUUUUUUCAGUUAACGUCAAAAUUUUAUCAAAGUCCUUUUUACAGUUCUUAAUAACUUUAAGGCCGUUUAGAUGUCCGGAUCAGGCCAGAUAAGUUUAUACGCUCGAGCUGAGGAACAAAGAGUAAUUCAUUUGCGUUUAUGCACAUCAAUUACAAAACAAAGGCCAAACAACACAGAACACAGAACAGGUUUUCGCAGCGCGGUUUCGACAGAGAGUCGAAAGAAUUGAGAAGGGGGUGGGGUCGAAGAAGGGGGCCCUCCUUCUUCGCCCCCAGUAAAGAUUGCAAAUCCCUCAAGCCGAGGGCCUUCUCCAAAGAGACUGGGAAGAUGUCCAGUCAUAGAUCUAAGUUCAAAGUACAAAUCCCUCAUCCCGAGGGCUUCCCAAGUUCAAAAUACAAAUCCCUCAUCCUGAGGGCUUCAAACGCUACCAGGACGUCUCCUGGAGCUGCGGUCGGGAGUCCGAGCUCGUCAGCUCCUCUCGGAUCCACCAAAUACAAAUGUACACAGCUGUAUACUACAAACGCAAGCGCAAUUCACAAAACGGAUUCAGACAGACAAGACGAGACGAGACAAGACAAGACAAGACAAGACAGCGGAUCCGCACAACGCUUACCUCCCAAACGUGGGUCGGUGGUCCCUGGGCGGGGGUCUCUAUCCCGGACGAGCCCCCAAAUGAAAGACCCCCGAAGAGGCACUUUCGUAGAGGGAGACCCACACACCCAGGAAUCAGCGAGGCCACGAACUGGAUGCAAAAAACAAGAGGCUUUAUUGGAGACGCGGGUACCCGGGGCGACUUAGCCUUUGUG